GUUAAAAUGAGGAAGGGAUUAUAGUGGAUACCUAGGCACCCAGAGAUGAGGAAGGGCAUGGUAAGUGAUGAAAUGAUUUGGGGAGUUGAAAAUGAGCAUAGAUCCGGAGAUUCCCGAAUAGGUUAAAUUUUUUAACUGUUGCUUAAUCCAUGGGCAGACAAGAGACAACUUGGCUAAUUGAAACAUCUUAGUACCCAGAGGAAUAGAAAGAAAAAUCGAUUCUCGUAGUAGCGGUGAGUGAAAUGGGAGCAACCUAAACCGUGAAAAAAAGGUUGUUGGAGAGCACAAUAUAAGCUUUGUGCUGCUAGGCGAAGCAGUUGAGUCCUGGAGCCUAGAUGUUAGGAACCAAAUACCAAUAUAGCAUAGAAAAACAUUAUAAAAAGUACUCAACACCUUGAAAAAGAGAUAAUUUCAGAUAAUAAGCCUCUUCGAGGGGGAAACCUCCUUUUACCCCACUUAAAUGUUCAAGUCCAAGAUGAUUCA
rfam:Picea glauca, whole genome shotgun sequence.